ensembl:antisense 0610040F04Rik RIKEN cDNA 0610040F04 gene
GCGCGCUGGGGAUCCGUUCCAUGAUGCGGCGAGCAGGGGCCACUGUGCGCUCCUGUCUGCACUUAGUAGAGUCUGAGAAAGGGCUGCCCUGGAAGGGAGGAUCCGAGGGUCUCAAGAGGUUUGCUCUGAAGACCAGAAGAGCCAAGAGUUGGGAAAGCAAUAUACCUCUUGUGAAGAUUCUCUUACCACGAGUUCAAGAAACCUGCAGCUUGUACAGCUUUUGCACCUUGGGUUAACCAUUUAAAUGCACAGUCUCUCCUUUUGGAAAGGAGCAUGCAUGCCUCGUGACUAGAGCCAAGUCUCCUGCAUUCAUUCUUCCCUGAUUCCUGCCUCAAACAAACCUGAAGUCCAAGGUUGUGCGGGCUUAUUUGCUUUCAACUUGAUACAAGCUAGAGUUAUUUGGGAAGAGAGAAUCUCAACAAAGAAGACGCCCCCCCCCCCCACACACCAUCAGAUUGGCCUGUGGCAAUAGAAACCCUACGUCAAAGGUACACUCUGAGCUCAAGAAUGUCCCUGACUGUCUAUGCUGGCUUCCGCAGCAAACAUUCGCCUGGAUCAAUACAUGCGAGCUGUCUUUUGCAGAUGCGUACAUUCUCAGUCAUCCUCUGUUAAUGAUGAAACCCUGGAGUCCUCUUCUUGACCUGAGUUUUCUAGCACUGAAUAUCGCCCCAGAGACACGAACAAAUUGAAAGAGCCCCGUGGUGGAAGGAGAGAAACAAUUCCUCUGCAGUUCUUGGACUUCCACAUGCCUGCUGUGACUUGCUCAUAGCCUGCUAUUAUCUAAGUAGCAUCAAACUUCCUGCUAACACUCCCAAGUGUGAGGAUUACAGAUGUGCACCACCACAUCUGGUUAUGUUGUGCUGAUGACCAAAGAUGGCUUUGUGCAUCCUAGACAGACACUCUGCCAACUGAGGUACCUCCUCAUCUCUCCCAUCAGGAGUGUAUGUGUGCAGGCACACAUGUGAAUGGAUGCUGUAGUGAGGGCAUGGAUGUCAGAGGACAAGUUUUGGGAAAUUGGGCCUCUCCUUCCAUCAUGUGUUGGGGAUCAAACUGGGAUUUUUGAGGCGUGCAGGCAGGAAAAGCACUUUUACCUGCUGGGCUAACUCUCUGGCCCUUCUUAUCAAGUUUCGAAUUCCUAGCAUGAAAUUCACACAUAGAGUUUGGAACCUGGGUGACGCAGGGUUUUGCAUUGCAGAUAUGACUGGUCUAAUCCCGCUCCUCCACAGUUCUAGCUGUAUGAGACGGUCCUCCUUUCUUAAGAGGUAGCUUGCACUCCAUUUUCUUGGAUAUGGACAGACCAAUGACAGGGCAGAAAGGAGAUCUUAUGAUUUGUCAAGUGCAAGUCAUAGCAAUUAGUGUGGUUUCUCUUGAGUAUUGCCAGGGCUCCUGGAGAUGUCCUAUGGAAAGCUCUCCCAGUAGCUCUGCCAUCCUAGCCCGACCUGUUUUAGUUUUCUUUCCCCCAACUCCCAACCUCCAGACAUGAGGCAGACAGCCUUCAAAUUAUUCCACCCUCCAGUCUUUGAGCCAGGCCCAGCUGAUGCUGCGUGGAGGGCAGGACCACCUGUCUCCAUGGAGCCCGGCCCAGAUUGCAAAGUACUUGGGAAAAGAAGCACGAUGCCUGUAGUCUUGAUAUCCAAGGAUUCUGAGGGCAUGGAUUCAACCAAGAACACAUGAAAGAUACCUGCGAAAGAUGUGUCUGUACUGAACUCAUGGAUAUGUAUUGUCAUUCUUCCUCAAAUAAUAAAAUAUAACUAUC